rnacentral:rRNA from 1 species
GUGGGUAACCUACCCUUAAGUGGGGGAUAACAUUUGGAAACAGAUGCUAAUACCGCAUAACCAUUCAGACCACAUGGUCUGAAUGUAAAAGACGGCCUUUGGCUGUCACUUUUGGACGGACCCGCGGCGUAUUAGUUAGUUGGUAAGGUAACGGCUUACCAAGACAAUGAUACGUAGCCGACCUGAGAGGGUAAUCGGCCACAUUGGGACUGAGACACGGCCCAAACUCCUACGGGAGGCAGCAGUAGGGAAUCUUCCACAAUGGACGAAAGUCUGAUGGAGCAACGCCGCGUGAGUGAAGAAGGUUUUAGGAUCGUAAAACUCUGUUGUUGGAGAAGAACAGGGACUAGAGUAACUGUUAGUCCUUUGACGGUAUCCAACCAGAAAGCCACGGCUAACUACGUGCCAGCAGCCGCGGUAAUACGUAGGUGGCAAGCGUUGUCCGGAUUUAUUGGGCGUAAAGCGAGCGCAGGCGGUUUUUUAAGUCUGAUGUGAAAGCCUUCGGCUUAACCGAAGAAGUGCAUUAGAAACUGGGAAACUUGAGUGCAGAAGAGGACAGUGGAACUCCAUGUGUAGCGGUGAAAUGCGUAGAUAUAUGGAAGAACACCAGUGGCGAAGGCGGCUGUCUGGUCUGUAACUGACGCUGAGGCUCGAAAGUAUGGGGAGCGAACAGGAUUAGAUACCCUGGUAGUCCAUACCGUAAACGAUGAAUGCUAAGUGUUGGAGGGUUUCCGCCCUUCAGUGCUGCAGCUAACGCAUUAAGCAUUCCGCCUGGGGAGUACGACCGCAAGGUUGAAACUCAAAGGAAUUGACGGGGGCCCGCAC